rnacentral:rRNA from 1 species
UACGAAGGGGGCGAGCGUUGUUCGGAUUUACUGGGCGUAAGGGGCGCGCAGGCGGUUCUGUUUGUCGAGUGUGAAAGCCCCGGGCUCAACCUGGGAACUGCGCUCGAAACGGCGGAACUAGAGUUCGGCAGGGGAGAUUGGAAUUCCUGGUGUAGCGGUGGAAUGCGCAGAUAUCAGGAGGAACACCGAUAGCGAAGGCAGAUCUCUGGGCCGUAACUGACGCUGAGGAGCGAAAGCAUGGGGAGCGAACAGG